AUGGGGGCUGGGCUAUAUGAGUACAUCGAUCAAUCCACAGUCGAACCCACAAAGACCAUCAUGACCAAGAACUCCGAUGGGAAAGAAGAGAUCGUUUCCAACCCCGCCUACAACCCCUGGCUCAUCCAGGACCAACAGAUCGUGGCCUAUCUCUUCCGGAACCUCCCUAAGGAAGUUCUUGUUCAGGUUGCAUCCCUAGAAAAAUCCCACGCGAUCUGUUCAGCACUCGCUAACAUGUUCGCCGCCCAAUCCCUCUCCCGCGCCAACAAUUGCCGCAUCGCCCUCUCAGACGCCCAAAAAGGCUCACAGAGUGCAUCUACUUACUUCGGUCAGAUGCGA
rnacentral:rRNA from 1 species